rnacentral:rRNA from 1 species
UGCAUGUCUAAGUUCAAGCGAAAAUAAAGUGAAACCGCGAAUGGCUCAUUACAUCAGUUAUGGUUCCUUAGAUCGCACUUACUACUUGGAUAACUGUGGUAAUUCUAGAGCUAAUACAUGCGCUGGGCCCCAACCCUCGUGGAAGGGGCGCUUUUAUUAGAUCAAAGCCAAUCGGGCCUUCGGGUUCGUUUAAUUGGUGACUCUGAAUAACUUUGCUGAUCGCAUGGUCUCGUACCGGCGACGUAUCUUUCAAGUGUCUGCCUUAUCAACUGUCGAUGGUAGGUUAUGCGCCUACCAUGGUUGUAACGGGUAACGGGGAAUCAGGGUUCGAUUCCGGAGAGGGAGCCUGAGAAACGGCUACCACAUCCAAGGAAGGCAGCAGGCGCGCAAAUUACCCACUCCCGGCACGGGGAGGUAGUGACGAAAAAUAACGAUGCUAAACUCAUACGAGGCUUAGCAAUCGGAAUGAGUACACUUUAAAUCCUUUAACGAGGAUCUAUUGGAGGGCAAGUCUGGUGCCAGCAGCCGCGGUAAUUCCAGCUCCAAUAGCGUAUGUUCAAGUUGCUGCGGUUAAAAAGCUCGUAGUUGGAUCUCGGUUUCGGGAGGGCGGUGCGCCCAGCGGCGUCUACUGUCCACCCGGACGAUUUUGUUGGUUCGUUCAUGGUGCUCUUAACCGGGUGCCUUGAGUGGCCAGCACGUUUACUUUGAAAAAAUUGGAGUGCUCAAAGCAGGCGCUACAGCCUGAACAAUUGUGCAUGGAAUAAUGGAAUAGGACCUCGGUUCUAUUUCGUUGGCUUUCGGAGUCGAGGUAAUGAUUAAUAGGGACAGACGGGGGCAUUCGUACUGCGACGUUAGAGGUGAAAUUCUUGGAUCGUCGCAAGACGAACUACUGCGAAAGCAUUUGCCAAGAAUGUUUUCAUUAAUCAAGAACGAAAGUUAGAGGUUCGAAGGCGAUCAGAUACCGCCCUAGUUCUAACCAUAAACGAUGUCGACUGGCGAUCCGUCCCCGUUAACUGAAUGACUGGACGGGCAGCCUCCGGGAAACCAAAGUCUUUGGAUUCUGGGGGAAGUAUGGUUGCAAAGCUGAAACUUAAAGGAAUUGACGGAAGGGCACCACCAGGAGUGGAGCCUGCGGCUUAAUUUGACUCAACACGGGAAAACUCACCAGGCCCGGACACCGGAAGGAUUGACAGAUUGAGAGCUCUUUCUUGAUUCGGUGGGUGGUGGUGCAUGGCCGUUCUUAGUUGGUGGAGCGAUUUGUCUGGUUAAUUCCGAUAACGAACGAGACUCUGGCCUACUAACUAGAC